rnacentral:rRNA from 1 species
UGGGGAAUCUUGCGCAAUGGGCGGAAGCCUGACGCAGCGACGCCGCGUGCGGGAAGAAGGCCUUCGGGUUGUAAACCGCUUUCAGGGGGGAAGAAGCGAGAGUGACGGUACCUCCAGAAGAAGCCCCGGCCAACUACGUGCCAGCAGCCGCGGUAAUACGUAGGGGGCGAGCGUUGUCCGGAAUUAUUGGGCGUAAAGAGCUCGUAGGCGGUCCAUUGAGUCGGGUGUGAAAUCUCAGGGCUCAACCCUGAAAUCGCAUCUGAUACUGGUGGACUUGAGGCAGGUAGGGGAAGGUGGAAUUCCUGGUGUAGCGGUGAAAUGCGCAGAUAUCAGGAGGAACACCGGUGGCGAAGGCGGCCUUCUGGGCCUGUUCUGACGCUGAGGAGCGAAAGCGUGGGGAGCGAACAG